rnacentral:rRNA from 1 species
GAGUUUGAUCCUGGCUCAGGACGAACGCUGGCGGCGCGCCUAACACAUGCAAGUCGAACGAGCGAGAGAGAGCUUGCUUUCUCGAGCGAGUGGCGAACGGGUGAGUAACGCGUGAGGAACCUGCCUCAAAGAGGGGGACAACAGUUGGAAACGACUGCUAAUACCGCAUAAGCCCACGGGUCGGCAUCGACCAGAGGGAAAAGGAGCAAUCCGCUUUGAGAUGGCCUCGCGUCCGAUUAGCUAGUUGGUGAGGUAAUGGCCCACCAAGGCGACGAUCGGUAGCCGGACUGAGAGGUUGAACGGCCACAUUGGGACUGAGACACGGCCCAGACUCCUACGGGAGGCAGCAGUGGGGAAUAUUGCACAAUGGGGGAAACCCUGAUGCAGCGACGCCGCGUGGAGGAAGAAGGUCUUCGGAUUGUAAACUCCUGUUGUUGGGGAAGAUAAUGACGGUACUCAACAAGGAAGUGACGGCUAACUACGUGCCAGCAGCCGCGGUAAUUC